CCUACGGGGGGCAGCAGUGGGGAAUAUUGUACAAUGGGCGCAAGCCUGAUGCAGCGACGCCGCGUGAGGGAUGACGGCCUUCGGGUUGUAAACCUCUUUCAGCACAGACGAAGCGCAAGUGACGGUAUGUGCAGAAGAAGGACCGGCCAACUACGUGCCAGCAGCCGCGGUAAU
rnacentral:rRNA from 1 species